CCAUAUACAUCCUAUGUGAGUUUUUGAGCCAAUUGAAAGUGUGUGCAUUUUUCAUACACUCCUAUUCUUUCAUGUGUGAUGAACUUAUGUGAGAUACAUCUCUAGAACUUGCGUAACGAUCUUUCGAAAUGUUUGUCAUUGAUUGCAUGAACUUGAAAAUGAUAGAGGCAUUAGGUUUACCACUAUGGCCCAAAUAACCAUGUUUCCCAAAGAAAAAUGAUAUCAUUAGAUUGCCAAUUUGAGCCGUAUAUGUUGAGCCUUUUAUUUCUUAUCACCAGAUAUGUCUACACUUAUACCUUAAACAUUUUUCCUUACCCUUUCCAAGCUAGCUAGUGAGCAAUGUGAGAUUGUCUUAUGAGAAAUAUUUGUGAAGUACUUUGAAGGAGUU
rnacentral:lncRNA from 1 species